rnacentral:rRNA from 1 species
UGGGGAAUCUUGCGCAAUGGACGAAAGUCUGACGCAGCGACGCCGCGUGGGUGAUGAAGGCCUUCGGGUUGUAAAGCCCUGUGGGGAGAGACGAAUAAGUCGGAGCUAAUACCUCCGGCGAUGACGGUAUCUCUUUAGCAAGCACCGGCUAACUCUGUGCCAGCAGCCGCGGUAAGACAGAGGGUGCAAACGUUGUUCGGAAUUACUGGGCGUAAAGCGUGUGUAGGCUGCCGUGAAAGUCGGAUGUGAAAGCCCCGGGCUCAACCCGGGAAGUGCACCCGAUACUGCAUGGCUCGAGUACCGGAGAGGUUGGCGGAAUUCUCGGUGUAGAGGUGAAAUUCGUAGAUAUCGAGAGGAACACCGGUGGCGAAGGCGGCCAACUGGACGAGUACUGACGCUGAGACACGAAAGCGUGGGGAGCAAACAGGAUUAGAUACCCUGGUAGUCCACGCCGUAAACGAUGGGUGCUAGGUGUCACGGGCUUUGACUCCUGUGGUGCCGUAGCUAACGCAUUAAGCACCCCGCCUGGGAA